UACAGAGGGGGCAAGCGUUGUUCGGAAUUACUGGGCGUAAAGGGCGCGUAGGCGGCCCGCUAAGUCGGACGUGAAAUCCCCAGGCUCAACCUGGGAACUGCGUCUGAUACUGGAUGGCUUGAAUCCGGGAGAGGGAUGCGAAGAUUCCAGGUGUAGCGGUGAAAUGCGUAGAUAUCUGGAGGAACACCGGUGGCGAAGGCGGCAUCCUGGACCGGCAUUGACGCUGAGGAGCGAAAGCCAGGGGAGCAAAGCGGGAUUAGAAC
rnacentral:rRNA from 1 species